rnacentral:rRNA from 1 species
UACUAUACUAGUUGAAUAUUAUGAAAAAUCUGAAUUAUUAAUAGAUAUGGUCUUUAAAUUUGAAGAAUUUGGCGGUAAUUUAGUCUUGUUAGAGGAACCUGUUUUUGAAUCGAUACACCACGUAGAAUCUUACUCAUCAUUACAAAGCUUAUAUACCAUCAUUAGUAGAUAAUUUUUAAAAAACUAAUUAUUAAAAUUUAAAAAGAGAUUAAUUUAAAUUAGAUCAAGGUGUAGCCUAUAGGUGAGUUAAAAUGGGUUACAAUAAAAUUUAUUUAGAACGGAACAAAUAUAAGAAAAAUUGAUUUGUAGAAGGAGGAUUUAAUUGUAAUAAAAGUUUAAUAAGCUUGAAAGAUAUAAGCUCUAAAUUAU